GAUGAACGCUGGCGGCGUGCCUAAUACAUGCAAGUCGAGCGAACAGACAAGGAGCUUGCUCCUUUGACGUUAGCGGCGGACGGGUGAGUAACACGUGGGUAACCUACCUAUAAGACUGGGAUAACUUCGGGAAACCGGAGCUAAUACCGGAUAAUAUUUCGAACCGCAUGGUUCGGUAGUGAAAGAUGGUUUUGCUAUCACCUAUAGAUGGACCCGCGCCGUAUUAGCUAGUUGGUAAGGUAACGGCUUACCAAGGCGACGAUACGUAGCCGACCUGAGAGGGUGAUCGGCCACACUGGAACUGAGACACGGUCCAGACUCCUACGGGAGGCAGCAGUAGGGAAUCUUCCGCAAUGGGCGAAAGCCUGACGGAGCAACGCCGCGUGAGUGAUGAAGGUCUUCGGAUCGUAAAACUCUGUUAUUAGGGAAGAACAUACGUGUAAGUAACUAUGCACGUCUUGACGGUACCUAAUCAGAAAGCCACGGCUAACUACGUGCCAGCAGCCGCGGUAAUACGUAGGUGGCAAGCGUUAUCCGGAAUUAUUGGGCGUAAAGCGCGCGUAGGCGGUUUUUUAAGUCUGAUGUGAAAGCCCACGGCUCAACCGUGGAGGGUCAUUGGAAACUGUAAAACUUGAGUGCAGAAGAGGAAAGUGGAAUUCCAUGUGUAGCGGUGAAAUGCGCAGAGAUAUGGAGGAACACCAGUGGCGAAGGCGACUUUCUGGUCUGUAACUGACGCUGAUGUGCGAAAGCGUGGGGAUCAAACAGGAUUAGAUACCCUGGUAGUCCACGCCGUAAACGAUGAGUGCUAAGUGUUAGGGGGUUUCCGCCCCUUAGUGCUGCAGCUAACGCAUUAAGCACUCCGCCUGGGGAGUACGACCGCAAGGUUGAAACUCAAAGGAAUUGACGGGGACCCGCACAAGCGGUGGAGCAUGUGGUUUAAUUCGAAGCAACGCGAAGAACCUUACCAAAUCUUGACAUCCUUUGACAACUCUAGAGAUAGAGCCUUCCCCUUCGGGGGACAAAGUGACAGGUGGUGCAUGGUUGUCGUCAGCUCGUGUCGUGAGAUGUUGGGUUAAGUCCCGCAACGAGCGCAACCCUUAAGCUUAGUUGCCAUCAUUAAGUUGGGCACUCUAAGUUGACUGCCGGUGACAAACCGGAGGAAGGUGGGGAUGACGUCAAAUCACCAUGCCCCUUAUGAUUUGGGCUAUACACGUGCUACAAUGGACAAUACAAAGGGCAGCGAAACCGCGAGGUCAAGCAAAUCCCAUAAAGUUGUUCUCAGUUCGGAUUGUAGUCUGCAACUCGACUACAUGAAGCUGGAAUCGCUAGUAAUCGUAGAUCAGCAUGCUACGGUGAAUACGUUCCCGGGUCU
rnacentral:rRNA from 1 species